rnacentral:rRNA from 1 species
UACGUAGGGUGCAAGCGUUAUUCGGAAUUACUGGGCGUAAAGCGUGCGCAGGCGGUUUUGUAAGUCUGUCGUGAAAGCCCCGGGCUCAACCUGGGAAUUGCGAUGGAGACUGCAAGGCUUGAAUCUGGCAGAGGGGGGUAGAAUUCCACGUGUAGCAGUGAAAUGCGUAGAUAUGUGGAGGAACACCGAUGGCGAAGGCAGCCCCCUGGGUCAAGACUGACGCUCAUGCACGAAAGCGUGGGGAGCAAACGGG